GGGGAUAUGGCUCAUUUGCAGAGUGCUUGCCUGGCACGCAGGAGGCCCUGGGUUUGAACCCCAGCACCA
rnacentral:tRNA from 1 species